ACACUGCCAGGGAUGGGGCAGCCACAGCUUCUUUGGCCAACUUGUGCCAGUGUUUUACCACGUUCAGAGCAAGGAAUUUCUUCCUAAUAGCUAAUCUAAAUCUCUCCUUUUUGGCAGGCGGAGCUUAGAAUAAUAGACUGACAUUUUCCUUCCAACCAAACUCUGAGUACAGAUUUAAUGUAAUAAUUUGUUAUAAUCUUGGGUUCCUGACUUCACAUAUUAAAGUGAUAUGCGGCACACAGCCUACACGCUUCCCUAGGCAAUCAAAGCAAGCGUGGAGACUGCCAAGCCAGAAAUGCCACUGUGCAAACAAAUGACUUUUCAACUAACUCAGUGGUUUUAUUUUAGACAAGAAGGAAGUGGAAUCAGAGCUGUCAGGAGUAACAGGUGGAGAAGGCACCCACCAGAGCAUCAGAAAGAUUAUUACUCCUACUCAAAGAUAUUUAAGAAAUCAUUUGGAGUCCCUGUUGUGGUUAUUAGGGGAAGAUCCAACACCAGCCAGUCAACAAGGCCAUGUAAUCCCAAUUCACAGAGCUGACAACUGACAAGCUCCUGGCCUUUGCAUCAGAUAAAAACCUGUGUGGAAGACAGAAAGGGAGUCUGUUGCACUGAUUUCUCAAUGAUAGCUGCUUGAGGUAGGCACCUCUGCAUUUGAGGAAAAUACAAAAGGGACAGGAAAAAUAAGGCCAGCACUUGAAGCAAAAGGGUUUUAUUAGCUUCUGAUAUUUCAACCCUACCUACUUAAGCUGCAGCUAGAAACAACAAACAAACAAA